AAAUCGGUUCUUCUCAGAACCACAACUUUGGAUCUCUAUACGAUUA
rfam:Agrilus planipennis Contig34197, whole genome shotgun sequence.